CACUGGCCCUGUUCUGUUUCCUGCCCGCUUACAACAUGACUUGCUUUCUCAUUUGAUCCCGAUUUAAUCCAUAUUACCUGAGCACUUAUGCUCAUAAUCUUAUUGUUUGGCCAUAGUUUUGUCCAGCCUCAGGCCUAUCUUGUAAUUUCCCCCUUUUCCCCACCUUGCACCCACCUCACCUCGUGGUUUUGCUCUAUAAGAAUCUCUAAAAAAGGUAGAGCCCUCAGCAACCCACUCAGGAACUCGUCUCUUUCAGACAGCUUUCCCAAUAAACAUAUUCUGCUCUUAAAAAAACAUAAAGGUGUAUGGGGCCCCAACCCAGCGCCUCACACAUGCCAGGCAAACACUGCACCACUGAGCCACAUCCGCAGCCCCUGCCUAUUCCUUUGAAACUGAAGCAAGACAUGGACUUCUCAGUUUUGGAAAACUCUGGGUGGCAUCUUCUUUCAGUAGGAGCACUUUUCUCUAUGCCAUUGAGGGUGGCGCCUUCGAGUCUCCUAACCGGCUCACCUUCCAGCUUCACGUCCUGGACACGUCUUCUUUCCUUCAACCCACAAACCAGCCCUGUGGCUCCAGACUUCCACAGAUUCCCGCCUCUUCCAGCCCUGAACCUGGAAGUUGUUCUGCCUUAGGGUUUGGCCCGAGGGAACCUGCUGAGUGCUUUGUCCUUCCAUCCAGACCAUAAAAACUUGGUCCCUCAGCCACGGGGCUGUUUCCUUUCUUCUCCUUUCUGUGUCCUGGAGUAGCAGUUUUAAUCUCCUUGAGGAACUUUCCCUGUGCAUUUACAGUUUGGCUCCUGGGUGAAAUAGUCCUAGCUUCUGCUACGUCUCAGCUUUCAACAUCUAUCUCACCAAGCCUAAUAAUUUCUUGCUUUGGAUGUGACGUGACAGGUGUGGGACUCUUCCAUUCACUCGAAUGGAGGCCACCGUAGAUGAUUAAUUCACCUUAUUUCAGGGUUUAUUUUUCUUCUUGUUGUUGUUGUUCCUUGUCGUAGUAAGACCUGAAGUCAGGGAGAGAUGGGGCAGGGCUGGUCAGUGGAGCAGCUGGAACACACAUGUAAGUUUUCUAAUAUGGAUGCAGCCUGUGCACCGCCCCUCAACAAUUGCAAUAUAAAUAGCGUGGAUCAAUGAUCACAGGUCAGAUACCAGGUAAAAUAAUGAUGAAAAGUUCCAAAUAUUUCCAGAAUUGCUGCAGUGAGACACAGAGAUGGAGUGUGCCCGUAGUAUUGGGAAAAUGGCCUUGCUAGGCUUGUUCAAUGCAAAGUUAUAACUUUCAGUUCAUGAAGCAGUGUCAUCUGCAAAGUGCAGUGAGUGCAGUAGAGCAGAGGCCUGUCGGGCGCAGGGCGUGGUCAGCGCGCUGCAGCUCCCGCUCCAGAGUCUGCAGGACCACAGUCUCCAGCUCAGCGCGCAGCAGAGCGUCCUCCGGGCGGAGCUCAGCGCUGCCUGGGCUUUGCUCCCGCGUGUGCCCUCCCUCCCACACCAGCCUCCCCCACUCCACAACACUCGAGCACAUUCCGGUCAGAAGAGGGGAUCCCGGAUGUCAUGGCUGUGUCCAGAUGUCCCCUCAUGUGGUCCCAGGUGGGGUGUCUUCAGAGGGGGCCAGAUCUAGUGUGUGACACUGGGAUGGAUUCAUGGUACAAAGAUAGGCUCAAGGGCACUAGGAUUAAGGGUGUGAGUGCUGCCCGCCCUAGUAGCCAGGAUAGGAUGUAAGGGCAGAAACAGCUGUGGUCGCUCCUUGUUGCUUUGCUACCUUCUGCCCGCCAUGAACUGUUUGUCCCCUGCGAUUCCUGUCCGUCACGCCUCCCUGCCUUGGAGCCGGCUGAUUAUGGACUGAAACCUCUACAAAUUGUGAACCAAAUAAACUCUCCUCCUUUAACUAUGGUUGUCAGUUGGGGGCCACGGGAUAGGAAAUCAUAGUUCACUAUGUUAGGGACCAGACUAUGUAGUCCCAGGCUGGGGUGACUCGCCUCAGGGACAAGGAGUUUGCAGACAGCUGCAUGCCCUCUGGCUGUUGGGAAAGCGCACAUUCACAGCCUCCUGAGACAGGCCUGCAGACCUAGUACAGAACGCAGGCAUCCAGAGAAGGUGGCCUGAGGACAUCACAAGAACCGCAGGACCCCAGUCUGUGCGGCCCAGAGCUGCAAAGGUGAAAGACUGUGCUUUGAGAAGGGCCCCAGGGCACCGUGUUCCAGAAUGGCGGCGGCCUAGAGAGUCUGAUCCUCAGGACUGGGCUCAGAGCCCUCAGCCAUCCAGGCACCGGACCCCGACAGCCAGGAGAGGGAGAAGCCUGGCUACUGCUCCAGCCGGCGGCCAACGGAAGAAGCCGCAGCUCUGAGCCACACGGAGUUCAGACGGGGAUGGAGGCCCCAGUCCGCCUCUGCGGAAAGGGAGCUGUUUGGGAAAAUGACGCAGGUCAGGGCGGGGCUCGGGUCUCCCGGUGCCCUCUCCGGGGCUGGGCGGUCACAGGCGCAGACACCCCCAGAAGCCCUGGCAGGGAGAGGCCGGGCUGCGGAAGUCACCGCGGGAGAAGGGAGCGAGCCGAGCACACGGCGCGGCCCACGGCGCACCCAGGCCCGUCUCGCGCCGGGAAGAACAACGCCGGGUCUGCAGAGCCCGGGGACGCGGCUGCGGGAGGAAUCCGGCCGGGCGGCCCCUCCGGGCCCCACCCGCGCUCCCCGGGCUCGGGAUCCGUCCUCGCGCUCACAGCAGCCGGAGCGCGGCGCGCUUCCCCGGGGAGAGGAGAGGUCCGGGCAGGCCGGCAGCGGCAGGGCCUCCGGCGCUCAGAGAACCGGUCCCGGCCCAGGGAGGUUUCCGACGCGGCUGCAGAGCAGGGGAUCCGGACCGGGAAGCGGAGGGCAGGGGCCCGCGCCUCCUGGAGCUCCGUCCCGCCCCGGCCCUCUGCGCUCCGCACUGAGAGGGCCGGUUGUCGCCGCCAGGGCGUCCGCGGGGACCCUGGACAUGUCGUGCGUGGGCGUGGAGUCCCGUCCUCAGCCCCGAUGCUCCGCCCCUUCCUCCCCGCCCCUUCCGCUCCGUCCCGCGCCGGCCCCGCCCCUUCCGCUCCUUCCCGGCUCCGGCUCCUCCCGGCCGCGGCGUCCCGGUCGCAGCCAGGACCUGAGUGUUUCCCCGCCGCCCAGGGCGGUGAGCGGCGGCCGCCGGGUCACGCGGCGCUGGGAUCGGCGUGGGGCGUGGAGCCGCCUCGGGGUCCUGCGGCCUCCCCAGGGCUGCGCAGUUACCCGCCCUGGGUCGGCCGGGACCUGGACCGAGAGCAGCAGGUGGAGGAUUCAAGGCACCGGAACUCACUCCGUUGGGCUGGGGAGAUCGUGUCGGGGUCCUUCCGUGGGGACUUGAGAGCCGAAUACUCCGUGAAUCUGAUUGGCUCCUCGGGGAACCAACACCCAAUGGGAUGCAGCACUGCCGUGGCGUCAUCAGUGUCCAGGCAGAGAGUGUUUACCCAAGUUGUAAGGGAGAAGUGAAACUCCGGGGAGGUGGGGACUGACCCGCGGGGUUUCCCACCCCAGACCACGCCCUGGGCGGAGACCAGGAGAGCCGGGUGGGGACCCGGAACUGUGCUCUGGUCACUCACCUCCUGCGCCGCACUCUUUGUCACAGUUUCCUCAUUUCCGUGGAGGAAGUGGCUGGCUAGAUCAGCUGCUGUCAGAGGGUUUUGUGUUUUUUUCUUGUUUCUUUUUGUUGGUGUUUUUUUGGGGGGGGUCUCAGUAUGUAGUUCAGUCUGGCUUGAACUCACUGUGUAGCCCGGAGUGGCCUGGACGGUGUGUCGAUCCUCCUGCUUCAGCCUCCCGAGUUCUGGGAUUACAGCCAUGCACCACCAAACCCAGUUUAAACUUUUUGGUUGGGAGCUUGCUUCGGCAGCACACCUACUAAAAUUGGAACGAUACGGAAAAGAUUAGCAUGGCCUCUGCCCAAGUUUGACACUCAAGUUUGUGAAGCUUUCUAUAUUUUUUUUUUAAAAAAAAAAGAGUAAAUAAAUAAACUUUUUGGUUGGUUUCAAGAUGUUCAUGUGCUGUUAGGAAUUACUGAGGAUCUCAAAGACAGAAACUGACUGUAUACCCACAAAGCCAAGCUGUCACUCAUCACCUUAAGCAGAAACUUAGAGCUCAGCAAAACCAGCCAGGACAGGGGGCGCCAGGCUGAGACAGAAUGAGGCUCCUUGCUGGGAUCUGGAAUGAAGAACAGGCUCUGACCUGGCUCCACACCAUUACUCACACGGAGAUGGUUCCCCUCCCUGCCCUUUCCUCAUCUCUGUGACUUCUACCACCCAGCAGUGCCGCUAACCACAAGUGUUUCUGGACAGAAAGAACACUGUGCUGACCCCGGACAGGAGCCCCCGUCUCUGAGCUUCCCCUCCCGCGCCCUGUGUGCUAGUGCGGCUCUGAGCCUGGGCUGCAGGGCUGGAGAGGCGGCAUCGUGCAGUGAACGGAUGCACAGAAUCCACAACCAAAACAAAACCAGGAGGGGUGGGUCCCGGGUGAACAGUGCACAGGCUGUGUGACCUGCAGCUAUUCAUUAACCUUUGUGACUAUCCACUUCCUUAUCAUAAAGUAUGUGUAAUAAAAUGCAUACUGAAUGCAUCCUUGUUAGGAAGGUAUGAAA